rnacentral:rRNA from 1 species
GACGAACGCUGGCGGCGUGCUUAACACAUGCAAGUCGAACGGAAAGGCCCUUCGGGGUACUCGAGUGGCGAACGGGUGAGUAACACGUGGGUGAUCUGCCCUGCACUUUGGGAUAAGCCUGGGAAACUGGGUCUAAUACCGAAUAGGACCACGCGCUUCAUGGUGUGUGGUGGAAAGCUUUUGCGGUGUGGGAUGGGCCCGCGGCCUAUCAGCUUGUUGGUGGGGUAAUGGCCUACCAAGGCGACGACGGGUAGCCGGCCUGAGAGGGUGACCGGCCACACUGGGACUGAGAUACGGCCCAGACUCCUACGGGAGGCAGCAGUGGGGAAUAUUGCACAAUGGGCGCAAGCCUGAUGCAGCGACGCCGCGUGAGGGAUGACGGCCUUCGGGUUGUAAACCUCUUUCAAUAGGGACGAAGCACAAGUGACGGUACCUAUAGAAGAAGCACCGGCCAACUACGU